rnacentral:lncRNA from 1 species
AUAGUUUUAGUCAUUUGUUAACCCGAUUUAGUGGUUUUCUCCACUUGUUCUGGUGUUGCAUUAGAUGUCUUUGGAUAAUUCCAACCCGACUUCUCAAAAGAUUUUCCUUCUACCUUGGGUUUCUUUAUUCCCUUUGACUUGGGUUUCUAAUUGGUGAAGGUAGCACCAACCAUCUUGUAGUCUACCAAGUAGUUUGUUCUAAUCAUUGCAGCAAGAAGUUCACACAUCAUUUAUCUUCCAUAAUAACAUAACCA